rnacentral:rRNA from 1 species
UCUUUAUAAUAAAUUUAUUUUAAUAAAUUAUUUUAUUUAAAUUAGUAAUUUUAAUAUUUAAAUUAUUUUAUUGGGGCGAUACAAAAAUUUAAUUAACUUUUUUAUUAAAAUUUCUUUAAUUAAAGAUUUAUAAAAAUAUGAUCUAUUAUUAAUAAUUCAGAGAAUAAGA